rnacentral:rRNA from 1 species
CAGCCGUAAACUAUGCUCGCUAGGUGUCAGGCAUGGCGCGACCGCGUCUGGUGCCGCAGGGAAGCCGUGAAGCGAGCCACCUGGGAAGUACGGCCGCAAGGCUGAAACUUAAAGGAAUUGGCGGGGGAGCACAACAACGGGUGGAGCCUGCGGUUUAAUUGGACUCAACGCCGGACAACUCACCGGGAACGACAGCAAUAUGUAGGCCAGGCUGAAGACCUUGCCUGAAUCGCUGAGAGGAGGUGCAUGGCGUAGACGUCCU